GCAUUUCAUGAAAAUGAAGAAAACAAUGAUGAAAGUUUGUAUAAAUGGGAACUCACUGUGAGCAAGGCAUACACAAGCAGGACUAAAUCUCAAGUUCUGCAUUUUCCACCUAAAACUGCUCAGUUUGUAUUGAGGGACAAGGAAUAUCUAAUCAUAGAUACUCCACAUCAAUUGAUUGACAUUAGGUGCACUAUGCAAGAAAGAACAAAGACAAGAGAAGGAAAAAUAUUGUUGAGAAGUAUUUGACGAAAGGAUGGUAGAACUGGGUUUUGGCUAAUAAGCUAAAUAAAGGCGACAAGCUGAUUUUCGAACUUCAGAGGGGAUAAAACAUUCUGCACGUUGACAUUGUUCGUUUCAAGAAUUACCAGGACUUUAUGACAUGCUUUUUGUAAUUUCAGGACGUUUUUUAAGUGAUAUGCAUUUUAUUUCAUGUUCUAUGUCAUUUGAAGUUGUAUGUGUUCACAUUAACAAUUAAUUUUAGUAAGUUGUAUGUACUCUGUUUGGUAAUUUGUGUUGUAGACCAGAUUAAGAAAUUCAGGAUUCAUUGGUGUUGAAGUUUUGUGUGCUAUCUUGAUGUGUGACUUUUAUGAUGUAUUAAGAUUGAAAUCUAACAUUAACUAU